UUUUAUAACUAUAAAUUAGCCAGUUUAACUAUCCAAUGAGCUUCCUAUAUGAAGUUGUUAGCAGUAUACGUGUUCCUGAACAUUUCACUUUUCCCAUUUAUCCUACUUUCUGAAAAGUAGCGUUCACGAAUAAGGAAAAGUAUUACGUAGACAACGUGUCUGCACGCAAGUACGUUUUAACGUUCAUCAAUAGUCCGGUUUUACUGUAUUACUAUAUACGUCAAGCAUUGACGGAAUUGAAUGUAGAGCAAUACGCAUUUUUCUGAAGUAAAUGAAGUUUUUGAUUGUAAUUACUGUCAUUAUUUAUUAAACGUAUUUCUCCACAUUUCUUCAAACGUCACAAAUUUUUGGAGGAAUUAAAAGAACAGAGGUGAAAUUUGAGUCAAAUCGGAUAUAGGUGAAAAGUCCUACAGUCAUGCACUAAAUCAUGUCUACAAGAUAAAGAAACAUUGUGCAAAUCGCCUACACGGCCUUCCCACCGGAUUGGUAGAAACUACGUUUAUUUAUUUAUUUAUUUUGGGGGGGGGGGGGGGGGGCUUAUAGAGAGCCCCACCCCUUUUUCUGUCUGAUCGUCUGGUUUAUAGGAUUUUGUACUUUGAAACCCAUGGCUCAAGUAAUUCUUGUUUUGUUCUGAGGAUGGAUGAUCAUCCUUGAUGGACUCCAAGUGUUCGUCAGCUAGACACAGGAUGGA